GCUCAGUAACACGUGGCCAAACUACCCUGUGGAUGGGAAUAAUCUCGGGAAACUGAGGCUAAUUCCCAAUAAUGCUCCACCCCUGGAAUGGGUGGAGCUGGAAACGCUACGGCGCCACAGGAUGUGGCUGCGGUCGAUUAGGUAGACGGUGGGGUAACGGCCCACCGUGCCAAUAAUCGGUACGGGUUGUGAGAGCAAGAGCCCGGAGACGGAAUCUGAGACAAGAUUCCGGGCCCUACGGGGCGCAGCAGGCGCGAAACCUUUACACUGUACGCAAGUGCGAUAAGGGGACUCCGAGUGUGAAGGCAUAGAGCCUUCACUUUUGUACACCGUAAGGUGGUGCACGAAUAAGGGCUGGGCAAGACCGGUGCCAGCCGCCGCGGUAAUACCGGCAGCCCGAGUGAUGGCCGAUAUUAUUGGGCCUAAAGCGUCCGUAGCUGGCCGGACAAGUCCGUUGGGAAAUCUGUCCGCUUAACGGGCAGGCGUCCAGCGGAAACUGUUCGGCUUGGGACCGGAAGACCUGAGGGGUACGUCCGGGGUAGGAGUGAAAUCCUGUAAUCCUGGACGGACCACCGGUGGCGAAAGCGCCUCAGGAGGACGGAUCCGACAGUGAGGGACGAAAGCUAGGGUCUCGAACCGGAUUAGAUACCCGGGUAGUCCUAGCUGUAAACGAUGCCCGCUAGGUGUGGCGCAGGCUACGAGCCUGCGCUGUGCCGU
rnacentral:rRNA from 1 species